rnacentral:rRNA from 1 species
UGAGGAAUAUUGCGCAAUGGGCGAAAGCCUGACGCAGCGACACCACGUGAGUGAUGACGCCUUUCGGGGUGUAAAGCUCUGUCAAGAGGGAUGAUUAUGACAGUACCUCUAAAGGAAGCCAUGGCUAAUUACGUGCCAGCAGCCGCGGUAAUACGUAAGUGGCGAGCAUUAUCCGGAUUUACUGGGCAUAAAGAGCAUGUAGGUGGUAACUUAAGUCAGAUGUUAAAUCCUGUAGCUCAACUACAGUCUGCAUUUGAAACUGAGUUACUAGAGGUCAGUAGAGGGAAGUGGAACUCAUAGUGUAGCGGUGAAAUGCGUAGAUAUUAUGAGGAACACCAGUGGCGAAGGCGACUUCCUGGACUGAUUCUGACACUGAGAUGCGAAAGCGUGGGGAGCGAACGGG